AUUAUUUUGGGAAAAAGAGUUAAAAGGGAAAGCUUCAAUUUUUUUUUUCCUAAAAAAAUUCAUUCCCACCA
rnacentral:tRNA from 1 species